rnacentral:rRNA from 1 species
UACUAGAGUAGCACUCGCAUAUCAAUAAGCGGAGGAAAAGAAACUAACAAGGAUUCCCCUAGUAACGGCGAGUGAAGCGGGAAGAGCUCAAAUUUGAAAUCUUAAAGGGUUUCCCUUUACGAAUUGUAGUUUAAAGAAGUGUUUUCUGCUGAGGUUUUGGUAAAAGUUCUUUGGAAUAGGACAUCAUAGAGGGUGAGAAUCCCGUAUUUGACCUUUACUUUCAACUUUGUGAUACACUUUCAAAGAGUCGGAUUGUUUGGGAAUGCAGUCCAAAAUGGGUGGUAAAUUUCAUCUAAAGCUAAAUAUUGGCGAGAGACCGAUAGCGAACAAGUACCGUGAGGGAAAGAUGAAAAGAACUUUGAAAAGAGAGUUAAACAGUACGUGAAAUUGUCAAAAGGGAAGCGUUUGACACCAGUGUUGUUUUUCUGAAAAUCAAUUAAAGAACUGUUUAUGCUAAGCUGUUUAGACUUUAUCAGCUAUACUGUUUAGUUUUGAGCUUUUCUUUAAUGCACUUUUCAGUUAACAAGUCAACAUCAAUUUCUUUUGCUGUAAAAAAGCUUGAGGAAGGUGGCUUGAGAUUCGUCUUAAGUGUUUAUAGCCUCUUGCCUAUGCAGUCGGAGAGAUUGAGGUCUGCAGCGUAGAUCCUUCGGGGCUAAAUGCAUUUGUGCUAAGUUAUAGCAUUUUAUAGACAACUUGUUGACUAUGAUUUGUCUUGUAGCUUACUCGCUUAUGUUAUUUUACCUACGCUUAGGAUGUUGAGCGCAUGUCUCUCUCU